GAUGAACGCUGGCGGCGUGCCUAAUACAUGCAAGUCGAACGAAGCCUUCGGGCUUAGUGGCGAACGGGUGAGUAACACGUUGGUACCUACCCUCUAGUGGGGAAUAACUGGCCGAAAGGUCGGCUAAUACCGCAUAAUACCGCAAGGUUAAAGCAGCAAUGCGCUAGAGGAGGGGCCUGCGUCCCAUUAGCUUGUUGGUAGUGUAAUGGACUACCAAGGCGACGAUGGGUAGCUGGAUCGAGAGGUUGACCAGCCACACUGGGACUGAGAUACGGCCCCGACUCCUACGGGAGGCAGCAGUAAGGAUGCUUCCACAAUGGACGAAAGUCUGAUGGAGCAACGCCGCGUGCAGGAUGACGGCCUUCGGGUUGUAAACUGCUUUUAUAUGGGAAGAUUAUGACGGUACCAUAUGAAUAAGGACCGGCUAACUACGUGCCAGCCGCCGCGGUAA
rnacentral:rRNA from 1 species